ACUUAAAUAAUUUAAAAAAAAUAUUGAUUUGUGGGAUCAAAUAUAUGAAAAAUAUUCAUUUUAAGUC
rnacentral:tRNA from 1 species